GAUGAACGCUGACAGAAUGCUUAACACAUGCAAGUCUACUUGAAUUUGGGUUUUUUAACUUAGAUUUGGGUGGCGGACGGGUGAGUAACGCGUAAAGAACUUGCCUCACAGCUAGGGACAACAUUUGGAAACGAAUGCUAAUACCUGAUAUUAUGAUUAUAAGGCAUCUUAGAAUUAUGAAAGCUAUAUGCGCUGUGAGAGAGCUUUGCGUCCCAUUAGCUAGUUGGAGAGGUAACGGCUCACCAAGGCGAUGAUGGGUAGCCGGCCUGAGAGGGUGAACGGCCACAAGGGGACUGAGACACGGCCCUUACUCCGACGGGAGGCAGCAGUGGGGAAUAUUGGACAAUGGACCAAGAGUCUGAUCCAGCAAUUCUGUGUGCACGAUGACGUUUUUCGGAAUGUAAAGUGCUUUCAGUUGGGAAGAAAAAAAUGACGGUACCAACAGAAGAAGUGACGGCUAAAUACGUG
rnacentral:rRNA from 1 species